CAAUAGCGUAUAUUUAAGUUGUUGCAGUUAAAAAGCUCGUAGUUGGAUUUUGGGUCGGGGGCACCGGUCCGCCGUUCCGGUGUGCACUGGUGGCCCCUUCCUUUCUGCCGGGGACGUGCGUCGCACUUAAUUGGGUGGCGUUCGGAGUCGGCGUUGUUACUUUGAAAAAAUUAGAGUGUUCAAAGCAAGCCAUCGCUCUGAAUACAUUAGCAUGGAAUAACAUGAUAGGACUCCGGUCUUAUUUUGUUGGUUUCCGAGACUGGAGUAAUGAUUAAGAGGGACAGUCGGGGGCAUCCGUAUUUCAUUGUCAGGGGUGAAAUUCUUGGAUUUAUGAAAGACGAACUUCUGCGAAAGCAUUUGCCAAGGAUGUUUUCAUUAA
rnacentral:rRNA from 1 species